rnacentral:lncRNA from 1 species
GUUCAGCCGGCACCACUGGUGCGCACUGUACAGCUGUAUCAGCUGCUCGUAGGACAUGUCCAGCAGCUAGCUGCUCGAGGUCCACGCCGCAGCAGGUGAACUUGCGGAAGGUGAUACAUCCUCUUCGCAGACAGCAGAAAAACAUCAGAUUUGUGAUUUAAUUGGGAGUUUUCUGGGAUCGAACAGUGGCUUCGUUUACAGACGUGACAGCUUGAGCCAGAGGGUGCCAGCCAGUGCCAUGAUGUGACCAAGGCCAUCAACAGCAGAGCCGCAAGGGAGCAGGAGCCUUGGUCCCUGAGGACAUGCUGGAGCUAACUUGGGAAUCCUGAGGUGGCCACCUCCAAAAUGUUACAUGAAAGAGAAAAGUAAACAUCUAACUUGCUUAAGCUGCUAUUGUUUUGGGGUUUGUCAUUUACAGCCAAACCUAAUCCUCAUUAAAAUAGUGGUGGAACUGGAAUUUGAACCAGUUUACUCCCAAGACCAAACUUAACCUCUUUGACAUAUUAUUUCUACUGUAAAACUCUACGCCCACACCAGUUCAUCUUUAAAAAAAAAAAAAAAUUUAUUUUCUCACAUUUCUGGAGGUUAGAUCCAAU